UGUGGCGAGAGUAGUGUGUGUAUUAUCGUUCUUCUAGUGCGAUAACUUUUAUUUUUGCCAUGAUAUUGCUGGGAUAUACAUAAGUCAUCAUUGUAUCUGAAAACAGAAUCCACGGCUGACUCUGAGAGCUGUGAUAACAAAAAUGGGUGCAGGAUCUCUGAUAUGCCUGCUCGUACUGGUCGUCUCAACCAGUGCCGAAUUGUGUAACGUCACCUCCGGCCAGGGUAUCAUCAUACUUGACAUUACGGAAAGCCUCGGUGAAC